AUUCUUUUACAAACGGAUUGGGGCGUAAAAUGACUUUCUCUU
rnacentral:tRNA from 1 species